UACGUAGGGACCGAGCGUUGUCCGGAUUCAUUGGGCGUAAAGAGCUCGUAGGCGGCUGUUCAAGUCGAACGUGAAAACUCGGAGCUCAACUCCGGGCCUGCAUUCGAUACGGGCAGACUAGAGUUCGGUAGGGGAGACUGGAAUUCCUGGUGUAGCGGUGAAAUGCGCAGAUAUCAGGAGGAACACCGGUGGCGAAGGCGGGUCUCUGGGCCGAUACUGACGCUGAGGAGCGAAAGCGUGGGGAGCGAACAGG
rnacentral:rRNA from 1 species